GGCAUUGCUGAGUCAGUGGGGAGGACUUUGCUCCAUGACUCAUCCCCCCACGACAGACACACCUUGGGGCACAGACACAGAGGAAACCAAGAAAAGCUUAUAGCGGGGUUAAUGGGAAAGCUUACUGAGUAUUAUUGAGUGGGAAACUCUCCCAAACCCCAGGGCAUUUAAGGGAAAAAGAUAUCUAGAGAUGCAGCCUUACGUGGGUUCCCUAGAAGUAGACCCUGAGACAAGGUUGCGUGUGAAAGGAAGUUACCAGGAAAGUUAUCUGCAAAGACAGGUGGAAGAGGAACUGAGAGGAAAAAAGGCAGGAAGCCAAGCCAAGAGCCACUUUGGAAGGAAUGGUGACUCUGAACCUCUGGGGGAUGGAAGAAAAGAAUGCUGCUUUGCAUGGACAAACCUGAGUUCGAUUCCCAGCGCUGUUUAUCGGAUGUGGGAUCUGAUCUUGGGGGGACCUUCUUCAAGCCUCUCUGAGCUUCAGUUUCUGCAUUAAAAAUGAG
rnacentral:lncRNA from 1 species